GAUGAACGCUGGCGGCGUGCCUAAUACAUGCAAGUCGAGCGAACGGACGAGAAGCUUGCUUCUCUGAUGUUAGCGGCGGACGGGUGAGUAACACGUGGAUAACCUACCUAUAAGACUGGGAUAACUUCGGGAAACCGGAGCUAAUACCGGAUGAUAUUUUGAACCGCAUGGUUCAUAAGUGAAAGACGGUCUUGCUGUCACUUAUAGAUGGAUCCGCGCUGCAUUAGCUAGUUGGUAAGGUAACGGCUUACCAAGGCAACGAUGCAUAGCCGACCUGAGAGGGUGAUCGGCCACACUGGAACUGAGACACGGUCCAGACUCCUACGGGAGGCAGCAGUAGGGAAUCUUCCGCAAUGGGCGAAAGCCUGACGGAGCAACGCCGCGUGAGUGAUGAAGGUCUUCGGAUCGUAAAACUCUGUUAUUAGGGAAGAACAUAUGUGUAAGUAACUGUGCACAUCUUGACGGUACCUAAUCAGAAAGCCACGGCUAACUACGUG
rnacentral:rRNA from 1 species